rnacentral:rRNA from 1 species
CCUGACUGCUAUCGGAUUGAUACUAAGCCAUGUGAGUCUUUGCAGCAAUGCAAGGCAGACGGCUCAGUAACACGUAGUCAAUCUACCCUAUGGACGAGGAUAAUCUCGGGAAACUGAGGAUAAUACUCGAUAGAUCAUUAUGCCUGGAACGGUUAAUGGUUGAAAUGAAUUUCGCCAUAGGAUGGGACUGCGGCCUAUCAGCUUGUUGGUGAGGUAAUGGCCCACCAAGGCUAUUACAGGUACGGGCUCUGAGAGGAGAAGCCCGGAGAUGGGUACUGAGACACGGACCCAGGCCCUAUGGGGCGCAGCAGGCGAGAAAACUUUGCAAUGUGCGCAAGCACGACAAGGUUAAUCCGAGUGUUUCCUGCUAAAGGAAUCUUUUGCUAGUCCUAAAAGCACUAGCGAAUAAGGGGUGGGCAAGUUCUGGUGUCAGCCGCCGCGGUAAAACCAGCACCUCAAGUGGUCAGGAGGAUUAUUGGGCCUAAAGCAUCCGUAGCCUGCUUUGUAAGUUUCCGGUUAAAUCCAUUAGCUUAACUGAUGGGCCGCCGGAAAAACUGCAAAGCUAGGGAGUGGGAGAGGUAGACGGUACUCAGUAGGAAGGGGUAAAAUCCUUUGAUCUAUUGAUGACCACCAGUGGCGAAGGCGGUCUACCAGAACACGUUCGACGGUGAGGGAUGAAAGCUGGGGGAGCAAACCGGAUUAGAUACCCGGGUAGUCCCAGCUGUAAACGAUGCAGACUCGGUGAUGCCCUGGCUUGUGGCCAGUGCAGUGCCGCAGGGAAGCCGUUAAGUUUGCCGCCUGGGAAGUACGUACGCAAGUAUGAAACUUAAAGGAAUUGGCGGGGGAGCACCACAAGGGGUGAAGCCUGCGGUUC